CACUCAUCAGAUAUUACUGAGUAGCCGCUCUGGGCCAAGACCAGGCCAGCGGGUGGCUGUGGUGAUGGGUGCAAAGAUGAAGAAACUGAGCUACAGAGAAGUUUUAGUACCCUCUUCAGGUCGACUUUGAAUGGCGGGCUCCAACCACUGCUCUACACGGCCUCUUGCACAAAGCACCCAGCACCUGUAGCUGAUGGAGGUGAAAGGCCAGUGACGCUCUUGGGUGUGGGAUCGAGAGGGCACCCCUGGAGGCAGACGGUCAGGUUUGAACCGCAGCUCUCCCAUCUGCUGUGUGAAGUUCCGCAGGGCCUGGAACUCUCUGUGCUUUGGUCUUGUAUCUGUGAACUGGAGAUAGUAACUGUCUGCCUGCGCACUCAGUGAGGGCCGAGAAGAAGUGACACAUGUAAAGGGCUGACAACCAUGCACGCAAGCAGUGAGUGAUCAAUACGUGUUGUUAUUUUCCCCGCUAUUUCACUUUUUAUGUGGCCAUCAGAGUCACACCUGCUAGAACACAGGAAGUCACACGUUUGAGGGUGAACGGAGGACCUGGUUUUGAAACUCAUUCGCUCCUCGGGACCUUCCCAACCCUUCCUUUUUUUUUUCUUUUUAAAUAUAUAUAUAUUUUUAGAGACGCUGUGAACUUACAAAGCAAUCAAGAACAUGUGUGACAUCGCCAUCC
rnacentral:lncRNA from 1 species